rnacentral:lncRNA from 1 species
CUGCUGGGCACAAAUCACGAGCCACUGAAGCAGGAACAAACUUUAUUUUUGAACUGCAGGAAAACACUUCACACAGCUCCCGGGGAAUCCUCCCGAACGCCACGCGGCUCGUCCAGGAACCCCCAGCCGGAAAUAUCUCUCCCGGAAAUCCCUCCUCCUGCACUUCCCCAACCAAUGGGAACUCUCAGGGAAUCCCCGGAAAUCCCCACGAGAACUCCAAAAUAAUGC